GACGAACGCUGGCGGCGUGCCUAAUACAUGCCAGUAGAACGCUGAAGGAGGAGCUUGCUUCUCUGGAUGAGUUGCGAACGGGUGAGUAACGCGUAGGUAACCUGCCUGGUAGCGGGGGAUAACUAUUGGAAACGAUAGCUAAUACCGCAUAAUAGUAGAUGUUGCAUGACAUUUGCUUAAAAGGUGCAAUUGCAUCACUACCAGAUGGACCUGCGUUGUAUUAGCUAGUUGGUGGGGUAACGGCUCACCAAGGCGACGAUACAUAGCCGACCUGAGAGGGUGAUCGGCCACACUGGGACUGAGACACGGCCCAGACUCCUACGGGAGGCAGCAGUAGGGGAUCUUCGGCAAUGGACGGAAGUCUGACCGAGCAACGCCGCGUGAGUGAAGAAGGUUUUCGGAUCGUAAAGCUCUGUUGUAAGAGAAGAACGAGUGUGAGAGUGGAAAGUUCACACUGUGACGGUAUCUUACCAGAAAGGGACGGCUAACUACGUG
rnacentral:rRNA from 1 species